rnacentral:rRNA from 1 species
GAUGAAUGCUGGCGGCGUGCUUAACACAUGCAAGUCGAGCGGUAAGGCCCUUCGGGGUACACGAGCGGCGGACGGCUGAGUAACGCGUGGGAACAUACCCCAGAGUGAGGGAUAACGCACCGAAAGGUGCGCUAAUACCGCAUAAUCUCUUCGGAGCAAAGCAGUAAUGCGCUUUGGGAAUGGCCUGCGUACGAUUAGCUAGUUGGUGAGGUAAUGGCUUACCAAGGCGACGAUCGUUAGCUGGUCUGAGAGGAUGACCAGCCAGACUGGAACUGAGACACGGUCCAGGCUCCUACGGGAGGCAGCAGUGAGGAAUAUUCCACAAUGGGCGAAAGCCUGAUGGAGCAACGCCGCGUGCAGGAUGAAGGCCCUCGGGUCGUAAACUGCUUUUAUAAGUGAAGAAUAUGACGGUAACUUAUGAAUAAGCACCGGCUAACUACGUGCCAGCCGCCGCAGUAA